GACAGGGGGCUCGAGCGUUAAUCGGAAUCAUUGGGCUUAAAGGGUGCGUAGGCGGGUCGCUAAGUGUUCUGUGAAAUCCCCCGGCUCAACCGGGGAAUUGCAGGGCAUACUGGCGGCCUUGAGGCAUGUAGGGGCGGACGGAACUGUAGGUGGAGCGGUGAAAUGCGUAGAUAUCUACAGGAACGCCGAUGGUGAAGACGGUCCGCUGGGCAUGUCCUGACGCUGAGGCACGAAAGCGUGGGGAGCAAACAGGAUUAGAUACCCUGGUAGUCCACGCCCUAAACGAUGUACACUAGAUCGGUGCGGCUCUGACGCCGUAUCGGUCGAAGUAAAAACGAUAAGUGUACCGCCUGGGGAGUACGGUCGCAAGGCUAAAACUCAAAGAAAUUGACGGGGGCUCACACAAGCGGUGGAGCAUGUUGCUUAAUUCGAGGCAACGCGAAGAACCUUACCUGGGUUUGACAUGGCCGGAUUAGCUCUUGGAAACAGGAGUGGCACCUUCGGGUGGAACGGUCACAGGUGCUGCAUGGCUGUCGUCAGCUCGUGCUGUGAAGUGUCGGGUUAAGUCCCUUAACGAGCGCAACCCCUAUCGUUAGUUGCUAACGGGUCAUGCCGAGUACUCUAGCGAGACUGCCGGUGUCAAACCGGAGGAAGGUGGGGAUGACGUCAAGUCCUCAUGGCCCUUACAUCCAGGGAUGCAAACGUGCUACAAUGGUGCGCACAAAGCGAUGCAAGACAGCGAUGUGGAGCAAAUCGCAAAAAACGCACCCCAGUUCGGAUUGCAGGCUGCAACUCGCCUGCAUGAAGUCGGAAUCGCUAGUAAUCGGAGAUCAGCUACGCUCCGGUGAAUAUGUUCCUGAGCCU
rnacentral:rRNA from 1 species